GCUUAAUUUCCCAAUUUAGAAGGCAUAUAAUUACUAACAUGAAUUGCCAGCAAAUAGACGAAUGUUAGUUCUGUAUAAACUCAAAUUCAAAAUAUUUAUAAAUCUAAUAAGUCAUUCUGAUUGACAGCCAGCCUUCCAUGUAAAUCAAACGGCUAUGGAUAAAUUAUCUGUACCCAACAACCAAUCAAUGUUCAUCAAGGGUACAAAUUGAUAAUGUUUGAAUGGACCCUUUAACAGCUCCUUGCAUAAACUGGAGCAGUUGCAUCUAACUAAUUUUUUUAUAAUUACAUUAGAAAAGCAAACAGAAAAACUUGAGAUAAAAGCCUUUAUCUUUUAGAUCAAAAAUAAAGUAACCUACUUUACAAUUAAACUGAAACUGAUGAUGAAAUUUCUUCUCUUUUUCUGUCAUUUUUUUGGCUUGAAUAGCAGUAAACGAAGACCAAAAUUUCUCUUUAUAUAACCUAACCUCCAGGGCUCCAACUUUAUGAGUUUAGAACUUUGAGAUAUAUAUGAAAAAUUUGGCAUCAGAAACGAGGGAAGAUAAAAAGAAACGCAAGAAAGUUUAGGGUUUUUUUUCAUUUAUUUGACAAUUUAAAAUGGGAUACCGCUUGUGGGAGAAUUCGACCCACAACCUUAACAGUUUGAUGUCCAGCGUUUAUACCAUUUGAGUUAUAACUCGUUGAUUAGAGUUUUCCUUUUACUAUUAUUUUGAUCAGCAAGAACGAGGACAAUCAAGAAUGACUAUGAUGAUGAUUCUUGAUCCUUCUGAUUCUGAAAAUAAAUACAUAAGAACAUGCCCUAUUCCCCACUUUUCCCCCUAUAUAUUGCAGAAAGAAUGAACCAUCUAUCCAAUCUGUGUCUUUUUAUUUUAUUUUUUAAUAAUCUCUAUUUUGUUAAUAAAUUACACCCAUCACCCUCAACUAGACCGUUCAUUUUCUCUCUCUUAUUUACUGUGCUACCACCUUAAAUAAACCCAUCUGCCCUCGUCUUUUCAUAUUCUUCUUCAAUCCCUUCUCUUUUUAAUUAGUUUGGUGAACUCAGAGGGACUGUGUUUCAGCAACAGCAGCAGCUAGUUUCAUGUGGGUUUCACAAAGGGUUUCUUACCGAGUUUAUUGGCAUUCUGUCCACCUCCUCUGAUCCGAUCAAUACAAUUUAUAUAUACUUGUGGAGGUGGGCAUACUGCCAACUGAGCUCUGUUGGUCUCUCUUUGUAAAAUCUUCGUGAUUAUACUUCAAUUUCUAUUAUUUCCUGCUACAAGAAUCAAGGGCAGGCAAGGAGUCCUUCAUUUUUAGGGCAGACCUAUCUUGUAUACGUUUCUGGUUUCUCUACACUACCAUAUACGUAGCCUCAUGAUUGAACUCUGACAUUGCUUUUAUAAUUGAUGUAAAACAACAUCUCCCACUAUCCUCUUGGAAUAAGUAACCAUCACGUCCAAUCUUGUCAACCUUUCGACUGAAAAGUGGCUUGUGAUUGGGCUGUGUAUUCCACGCAGUUAAGAAGUCGACUGCAAAAAUUCUCUAAAAUCACAUUUUCUAAAAUAUAAUUAUGAAACACUCUUUUAAAUUAUUCAUAUUUAAAAUAAUAUCCACUCGAACGGAUAAUUUUUUUUAAAGAUGAUAAAAAUUUAAUAUCAAAUAUUAUACGGUUUGAAUUUGCAACUUUACUUGAUCAGGGGCUCAAAAAUCGCUUUCAUGGAGAGGGAAUUAAUAUUUUGCUUUAUAGGCAUUUGGGUCGGGUCAUAAAAAUGGAGCAAGACUAUUAUGAUUCUUCUGCUAUUGCUUUGGAGUCAAAUGGGAUUUGAAUUUAGUGAUGGGUACGAUAGAGAUGAAAAGGGUAAAGAAAGUGGAUGUUGAUAAUUAUUCUUAUUGGGGACCAUUUUGUAUUGUUUAUGGCCACCUCAUUUUUUCCUUCCGUUUCAUAAAAUCUGAGGGACCAUUUCCUUUAUUUUCAUAGCUAACCAAAUUUACAUUUUUAAUUGUGAAGUUCAGUUUCAGGGUUCAUUGUUAGGUCUAGGCUUGACGCAAAGUCAUAAUAUUAUAUGAGAAUUCAUCCAAAAUUUGAUGGUCA